CAGAAAACCUCAGUAUCUGAGCCAGCACGAAUCACAAACUGGUCUCGAGCUUUUUCAUCAGUAAGCCAACAUUGAAGAUUUUCCCCUGGAACAUAUGGCCUAAUUUCAGGAGGUGCCCACUCAUCUGGAACUCUCAUAAAUUUGGCAAAGUCAUCAAACAUGUUGACAGCAAAAAUAUGUGAUCUGUCCAACUUGUACCCAUUAGUUUUCUCCUUAGCUAGCUCAGCUUCCUGAGAAGUGUUAUACUCGAUGAAGCAGUAACCCA
rnacentral:misc_RNA from 1 species